UACGUAUGGAGCAAGCGUUAUCCGGAUUUACUGGGUGUAAAGGGAGCGUAGACGGCAUGGCAAGUCUGGUGUGAAAACCCGGGGCCCAACCCCGGGACUGCAUUGGAAACUGUCAGGCUGGAGUGCAGGAGGGGUAAGCGGAAUUCCUAGUGUAGCGGUGAAAUGCGUAGAUAUUAGGAGGAACACCGGUGGCGAAGGCGGCUUACUGGACUGUAACUGACGUUGAGGCUCGAAAGCGUGGGGAGCAAACAGG
rnacentral:rRNA from 1 species